rnacentral:lncRNA from 1 species
AGAGAAAGGGAACGUUUGAUGAUAAGGAAAAGGACGAAGCAACUGCUGAAGUGGCAUCCAGUGUCAGGCUCCAGAGGAGUGAGGGGCUCUCUGAUCAAGAGGAGGGGCUGGUCUCAAAGAGGACCACAGAAAGGACUUAUCACAAGUCUUUGUGGUAGCUGAGGAGUGCCCCCUACAGACUGAUAUGCACAAUGCAAGCAGAUGAAGAGGAAAGAACUGAGCAGCAGUAUUUCAGGAUUCUCAAUAAGGCAUCAAUGAAAAAAGGUAAGAAACCUUUGCUGAACAAAAUGUGACACUAAAGGCUAGGAAAUAUAUGGACACUAUGAAUUCUUGUUUUUACAUAUUUGUAAACAGCAAGAAAUGAAAAACCUUUGUUUGGACUUUUCUUCUUUUUGACUCUCACCACCGAUUGCCCGCAACUGAAGAAUGUAUUAGUAAAGUCUGUUUUGUUCUUUGGUUACUUCAUAUCAAUAUUUGAAUACAAAUGAAAAUAGUAAAAUAGUAAAAAAGAUAUUUUAUUCUGCUGUGCAAAAACAACUACCUGGAUUCAGAAAUUAUUUACUUCAGAUGUCGGCAACAAAAAUAAAACGUAACAUAUCUAUUAAAAUGAAGUUAAAUGAAUUCUAGUUUGAGGUUUUAUUCCUUUUUGUAAAGACUCCACAGAGAAGUAUUUGCCUUCUAUGAAUGUUAUCGCUUAAAAUGUUUAUGUUUUUCAAACUAAAAAUCACAAAAAGACAUGAAAAACAUAUCCUAUGUUUAUGAAUAGAUUUAAAAAUAUAUAAAUCUAUAAAUGUCAAAAUAUAUUACUACACUAAGAUUCAA